CGGAGCACAACAUACAACUUGUAUAUCCACAACAGAAGGUGAUGUGAAUGUAUUACUGGAAACAACAAGAAAUCAAUGGAUAGGCACCCCGCUGCAGAGAGGCACUGAUGAUAAGAUCGAAUAUCUAGUAACCAGAUUAAAUGUUGAAUGACAGCAACUUCUAUCUUCCCACUUUUAUACAACUCAACAGAUAAGUAUUGACCAUUGAGAGAACAUGAACAGGGACUGGUAACAUCUUGUUAGGACAUUCCAGGCAUAUCUUGGCAGUUCCGGAUGUUCUAUCUAGCUGCAAUCACAUUUCUUUCAUGGAUGGUGAACCAUCCGCUGCAAAAAUCUUUGGAGAAGGCUCAUACUUUUCAUUAGCUGUUUCAUGGCUGUGCCAAAUAUCCCAAAGUAAGUUACACCACUUCCAAUGCCUCCUGUUGCUGCUAUAGACAUAGUUGGGGAAUGGAAGCUGUGGUUUGAUCCAGCCAUCUGUGAAGAAGUCAAUGCUGGAGCUCUUGCCACAGUAUUCUUGACAUUCUGCUCCUGACUCGCCAUUGAGACAACCCUCUUCAUAGUCCUAUCUACGCCAGGGCUUGGGGUUGACAUUGCUUGCUCCAGUGCUUUAAGCUAAAUCAAAAUAAUUAAAAGAUAUAAUUGUUCCUUACAAGCAAGGAGAAACAUCUUCUACAUUCAUAGAGUAGUAGAUUUCAUGGGCAAAACCAAAAUGAUAACAUGAAUAAAGUCCAUUUUGCUCACCUUCUUCUGAAGUCGGGCCAAUACUGCAGUAAGAAAAGAUAUCUCAUCUUCUGGACUGCGAUUUCCUGAGCUUCCUUCAGCAGCAGAUGUGUAAACAUCAUUAUCAGCCAACAAAUCUUCCUUGGCAUUUUUCAGAUUCUGUAUACGUGACUUGCAUACUGAAAUAGACUUUUCACAAUAUGGGAUUGCAUCCCUAACCUUGGAUGCUAACUCGAAGGCCACACAUAUGCGGGCAUUUCUGGAACUGAAUUAAGGUAAUCAACAAAGGAAGAAUUGAGCUCAAAUACCAAGUACCUAUUACAUACGGAAAGCACAAUAUGAAGGGAAAAUAGAGCCACCACAUUAGUCCGCAAAAAUUAAUUAUUUUAACCAUUAAGUUUAGACAUUAACGGACGAGAUCUAAAGAUAUAAUGUUACGUACUAUAACAUUGUUAUGGACAAACAGGUCAAAUGCGCCACGUACAAACAUUUAAUUUGGAAUGAUCCUGUUUGGAUGUGUUGGCUGGCAACGGUGGUGCAAUCCGAUUUCAUAUAGGCAUCCAAAAUUUCAAAUGGUGACAUCAUGCUUAUGUCAUCAAUCAACUAUAUAGUGGGCAAAACAUAGUCACAUACUCAUGUCUCAUACAAACUACUUCACAUAUACCAACGUGCACAACAGAGAUCAAAUAGAAAAACAAGAAGAUCUUGCCUAACCGUGCGUGAUGUAAAGGACAUUAAAUGGAAGCAUAUAAAACUACCAUGCUACCAUGCUACCAUGAGGAAGGCAAGAAAAGAAAAUUAGAAGCUAGCCAGAAUCUCGGUUUGCUGCACGAUGAUUCCUUCCGCAUGAAGCUAGCCGCACAAGCCAAAGUGCAUUUGUGCAAGUCGGAAAAAAAAUCACAUGGAAAGGUAGAUAACAAGUAUUUUCUUGAUAUACUAGUCACUUAUGCAUAUGUAUGCACAUAUGUACUCAUACGUUGUCUACAUGUUCUGCAAUGCUUGAAAAUUAGUGAUGCCACUUCUAAUGCACCAUUACAAAGCUCCAAAUAUGAGAAAAUCAAUGUCAAAUAUGCCACAUCCGUUUACAUUCUAAUAAUAUCUACAACCCUGAUUGUGCUACAUCGAGGUUAUAGAGAUGUGUAGAUGAAUCCGACAGCUUAAUCCAUUAUCGAUACAACAUCAAUACGCGAAUAAAGAGGAGAAAUUUGAGACUGCUCCAUUAGAUGGAUAAAAAAACAUGGCUAUAUUUUCAUACUUGGAACUCAAAGAAAAAAAUAAAAAAUUAUCAAUUCUGUUUUCAGAAGAAUGGCGUGCAUGAAAUCCAAAAUAUUUAAUAACAUUUUAUGAAAUUUUUACUCAAAUCUUAGAAUAAAAAUUAGCAAGGAAUUUCCAUACAAAUUUAGUAUGCAGUUCACUAGAGAUGUAUUUAUACAAUAUGAUUAAUACAAUUUAUAUUCUCUUUUCACCUAAUGAUGGAAGUCAGGAUAACACUAAAACUGAGUAGGUAACUUCAUUUCAUUCUAUGAAUAAGGUAUGUAGCGAGUGAGAAUAGGCCAAUUAGGUUGAAAAAGAAUGAGGUUAUAUUUUUAUAUGCGGAACUCAAAACAAGAAAUGAAGUAAAAUUAGUAAUUAUGUUUUAUAUUACACAUGAAAUUAAAAUAUAUGAAUAACAUUUUAUCAAAUUGACAGUAAAAAUUUCUUUGUUAAAAAGUUUAGACUAAUAAAUAGAACAACUUAGCAUUGAUGUUCAUACAAAUUUAGUAUGUCGUUCGCGAGAAAUGUAUUUAUACAAUAAGAGUGAUAUAAUUUACAUCACCUUUGAACUAUGGGGUAUGCUCUAAUAUGUAUGGAUUCAACAAUAGCAAAAAUGGGAGGGUCACAUUAAUAUAACUAGAGCACACAUGAAUUAUUAUUUAUUAACAUAAUUCAGAUGCAAAAAUGUGGCACACAGAAAUAGUAGGAGAAUAUAGGUAUGCAUUGCGACUGUAGCAUGUACGUCACGAGAAAUUACUAGGCAGAGGGGAGCCGUAAUGAAGACGAGUAAUAUCGUUUGGUAAGGAAAGUUCGAUUGACACCAGUUACGAUGUGCACGCAAGUGAGCAUGGCAUAUAUGGAAGCAAAUCAGUGUUGUACUAGGGUAAAUAAAGAAAGAAACAAUCUAUGCCAUUUCCACCAAAAAAAUAUGCCAAGCAUAAUAAGCUAUUUUCCUUAGCAUUGGCAUGGUUAGAAAGAACACUGUCAUCAUCGUGUACAGGAGAUAAUGUUAGUAAUUUCCAGUAAAUAUAGACCGAUAACUACAUUGCCUUAGAUGAACAAGUCCACCUAUACAGCAAGCAAAAUAUUACCAUAAAUGGAAGACUAUGAAAAUACUCCAUCCGUUCCUAAAUAUAAGUCUUUCUAGAGGUUCAACUAAUGGACUACAUACAGAUGUAUAUAGACAUACUUUAGAGUAUAGAUUCAUUUAUUUUGUUGCGUAUGUAGACAUCUAGUGAAAUAUCUUAAAAAACUUAUAUUUAGGUACAGAGGGAGUAUAAGACUACACCAACCAAAAGAAAUAACAAAAUCAUGUUUAUUGAUGAAACAAGUGAAGGUGAACGGAUUAUGCAUGAAUAAUCAAGGUUUAGUAUGAUGAAAGAUAGAUCCCAAGGGGUGAGAUACGAUAGGGAGAAACAUGGAGGUUAGCACAAAAUUCUAUGAUUUUGUAUGUCAUAGACAAUGGUACUUAGUUAUUAAUUCAAAUCAUAUUGUAUAUAUAUGUUCAACUCCAUCUUUAAUAUGAUUUCAAAAUAUAUAUGGAAUUAACGUACCAAUGCCUAAGCUGAAUAAUACUUAGCGCGGUCGUAAAUGUCUGCAAAGAAAAUAAUAUAAAAUAAUUGUUCACAAUAAAUUUGGUGCUACAAAAUCAACUAUAUAUUUAUAUUUACACUUGUAACGAUAAAUACCAUAUAAGAGUUAAUAUGAAAAAUGUGAAAAUAUACAUGACAUCACAUGUCUAGCCGUAGAAAUGUGCAGGCCACACUGCUAGUUACGAUAAAUAAGCAUUAUCCACCUGACGUUUGAUCACAGUUUGUCCCAAAAUUUAACCUGACAUGUGGAUUUAAGCACGUGAAGGAACCCGUGCAAGGUUUGGGUCAACUCAAAUUAUUUGAAAUCAUGCACGGAUAAUAAAAUGGAAGAUAGCUUUAGCCACCUAAACCUUCAGCUAAACUGACUAAAUGUAUGCCUAAAACCCCAGAGAUAUACCACAAGAGGAUGAAACGGCACUUGGGUUGUGAAUAUCCUGCUUUGUACUACUACUACAAAGCAGAGUGAUUGACACUAUAAUCAGUUUAUUACCACGAAGAGGAUACAUGUCAACAAUCCGAAUAUUGUCAGGCCUAACCAAAUGCUCCAAGAUGGCGAAAGCUUUGAAGUAGUAACCAAUUGUGUUGUCCCAGUCCCCUGCAAAAGUAAAAAAAUCAAAUGUGAGGCCAUGGAUGACCAUUCACCAGGCUAACACACUAGCUAGUAAUGAACAUAACUGAGGUUACCUCUUUUCUUGCAGACUUCAGCUAGAGCAAGAAAUAUAUUAAAUUUCUCCAUUGUCAUGCCAGGGUUCUUGGUAACUAUAGCUCUUGCAACAUUCAACAUUUUCCAGGCCAUAUCCAAAUCAGAAUCGUCACCACCGCCUGCUGCGUUCCCAUCCUCCUGAUCUUUGCCGUUCAAGUUUUUCCCUAACCAAUGACCAUAUCAGAAUUUACCAUAAAAAGAAGAAAACAUUUUUAUUUAGAAAAUGGAAGAUUUCUACUAUUCCGGGUCUCUGAAUGAGAGGAUGCACAGACCAAGAAGAAGAAAAACUGUAAUGAGAUAUGUGCAAAUGUGUGACUAUCCAACUUAAGCAGUAUACUAUGAUCAUAUACGUGCAAAUAAUAACAUGGUUGGGAGUCGACUGAACUCAGUGAAUCAUAUAUCCAUAUCUACUUAAUCUGGCUUUUGUUGGCUUUUCGCCCUCAGGAUCGAACACACGAUCACCCUGCAGCUCGACUAGUCGUGUACGUGCAACUCGGCUCAACGUAUACGAACUAGUUGUAGCACUCGAUAUCUCACCGGCGCUUACGCAAACACCGGGACCAGAACACACGCACGCGAACGCAGCAACACAAAGAUGGCCAGAGGCACGUGUCGUGCCUCGUAAUAAUCUCUUUAUUGCUUUUCUUGUUUUUCUGGUGUACAACUCGAUAGCCUGCCACUGCUUAUAUAGACGUAGCCAGGCAGCCACACCCGAAACGUCAAUAUCCUAAAUCGGCUAGUACAUGGACAUCAUUGUCCAACUCCAACUCGGUCAACACAUCACCGUAUCAAACUUUCCUAGUUUGACUACUCCAAAUACAGCACGACUUAGUACUUCCAUCUUAACUCACACGAAGCACGCUUUCCCAAACUAAUUACACGGCAACGUUGAUCACACUACUAAUCCUAACCGGACUCAACGAAGCUAGCUCACGUUUGGAUUAUUCUACAUUCACCCCCUAAUCCAAACUUUUGACUUGUUGACUUGAAACCAACAUAUCACCUGGAUUACCAGCCCACGCCGUCACAUCUUAGCGUGCUACAUGCAGACUAAACACAUAGCCUCUCAUGCAGGAACUCAACUUAACUGGUGCGCAUCCAUCUUCACGUUGGCCUUCGUCUUCCCGCCGAGACACACUAAUUAACGACUCAGACACCAACAAAAAACUAAAGACACGACUCUUUUUUUUUCCGCCGCAGCUUCUUCAUGAAAGCAACCCUGGGCCGUCAUCCACGUCAACUUUAGCUAGUUGCAGAAUCUCGUGCUCCUUCUUUGCCUCCUUCCGCGGAUUAGGACACUCUCGAGAAUAGUGUCCAUAGUCCUGACAAUUGUAGCAACGAACUUUAGAUUUGUCGAACUUCCGGUACUUCUGCUUAUUACGCAAGAACAUCAACUGCUCCUCUUCUUGGUCGCGUUCACGUCCCUUCAACGUCAACUCAUAGGUCUUUAGCCGCCCGAUCACCUCCAUCACCGACAUCUUCGUCACAUCGCCCCACUGCUCGAUGGUGCCAACGAUCGGUAAAAACUUGUCGGGAACGGCUCGUAGUAAUUUCUCCACAACCGCGAUGUCUUCCAUCUUUGAUCCGAGAGCUCGCAUCUCAUUAACUAGGGAGGUUAGUUUUAACGCAAAUUCACCAACCCCUUCUGACGCCUUCAUGCUCAUCCUCUCGAACUCCCUCCUUAGAGCUUGAACACGUGCCUUCUUGACACAAUCAUCUCCAGCAUGCAUCUCCUUGAGCGCUUGCCAAGCUUCCUUUGCCGUCUCUUUCUCCGAUAUGGACAUAAAAACAGCAUCAGACACACCUUGGGCUAUGAUGGCGAAAGCCUCUUGGUCCUUUGUCUCUUCGACCGCGCCUUCACCUUCCACCGCUGCCCAAACACCACGCGCACGCAUGAAGAUCUUCAUCUUCGCAGCCCACACCCCAUAAUUGUCACCAUCAAGCAUGGGAUACUGGAUGGUCACACCACCACCACUCGCCUUCGAAGUCGACAUGAUCCUCUUCUUCGAUUUUCCGUCGUCCGUGACACAACUUGACAGCGACGACAACUCCACCAUGACGCAACUUGACGGCGAAGCCUCCACACCUUGCUCUAGAUACCAAUUGUUGGCUUUUCGCCCUCAGGAUCGAACACACGAUUACCCUGCAGCUCGACUAGUCGUGUACGUGCAACUCGGCUCAACGUAUACGAACUAGUUGUAGCACUCGAUAUCUCACCGGCGCUUACGCAAACACCGGGACCAGAACACACGCACGCGAACGCAGCAACACAAAGAUGGCCAGAGGCACGUGUCGUGCCUCGUAAUAAUCUCUUUAUUGUUUUUCUUGUUUUUCUGGUGUACAACUCGAUAGCCUGCCACUGCUUAUAUAGACGUAGCCAGGCAGCCACACCCGAAACGUCAAUAUCCUAAAUCGGCUAGUACAUGGACAUCAUUGUCCAACUCCAACUCGGUUAACACAUCACCGUAUCAAACUUUCCUAGUUUGACUACUCCAAAUACAGCAUGACUUAGUACUUCCAUCUUAACUCACACGAAGCACACUUUCCCAAACUAAUUACACGGCAACGUUGAUCACACUACUAAUCCUAACCGGACUCAACGAAGCUAGCUCACGUUUGUAUUAUUCUACAGCUUUGUCAUUUCAACCGCACAAGGAAAAAAGGAGGCAAAUAGCUGGCUGCACAAGACACACAUCCAACAAAAAUAUAGUCAAUCCAUAAAAGCUUUUCUGUGAGCAGUUUCUGCAACAUCAUCUGGUGCAAGAAUUAAACUAUAAGAACAAUUAGCAACACAACAUUUAUUAGAUGGUCACAUGUGAAAUUAUGAUGAGGAUUUUAGAGUCUUUCACAAGGGCAAAAACAAUACAAGUCCAAGACGAGACUAUUACUUUGCAUUAGCAUGAGCAAAUUACUGAUUGGUUGUUUAUUGGAUAUACUCUUCAGUAAUUAGUACGUAUGAACAGACCAUGAGAAAUUAUGGUUAUCAAUAGAGUGUUAUCAGCUACACCAAUAAAAAGGGCAAUAAUGACUUUUCAGUCCAUAUAACUGUCUUGUGCAGUACCAGUGUCACGCUACAUCUGUGGGCUCAACUAAUCUAGCUGCUUUCUCUAAGAAACCAUUCCAUACAAAACCUAGAGAAGAUGUAAAGUUGAAUAUAUAGCAUACCUUCUUCAGAAUCAACAUUCUCUGCAGGUGCUUGCUCAACAUUGCUACCAAAGACCUCUGAGACCUCAGUAUCGUCUUUGCUGGCUGUAGCCGUACUUCUGAUUGAUUCUUCAUUUGAUGAACUCUUUGAACCAUUUCUGGAAUGAUUGGUUGCCUUUCUAGCUUUGUGAAGAAAGGCGCGUCCACAUCUGUAAAAUGUGCUAGCACGCUCCGGAGGUAGUGGAACCCUAUGUUACAAACAAGAAAUAAAUAUGUGAAUGCAUCAUUGCAAAGGUUAAUUAUAACAUAAACAUAUGGCCAUGAGUGUUGCCGAGGUAGAAUAACAUGACCGUAAUUAUUCCAUAAACCAUUUUCUUGACACAACAUGCUAACUAUAUAUGUUCUACUGAUUGCUUUUUAUAGUUUCAUAACACUGACAAUUGCCUGCACAGAAUAUUAAAUAAAAUUCUGAAGUACCGUAUGAAUAAACUACAUGGUAAUGAAACAUUUGCAACUAGCCAGAACUGGAGAGGAAUAGAACCCUUCUCAAAUGGGAUAACAUCUAUCCUCAAGUACUUGGAGUUUGAUUUGAUGCUCAUCGCAGUACAUACAUCAUAACAAAAGAUGCCAGGUCCCAAGUUCCAAAUAUAGUCAUCAGAUCACAUUGACUAAUUGAACGCAUUAAUCCCUAAGACAUUAACGCACGUGUCAUGCUCACUUAUCAAACACAUGAGGCCGAAACACCCGCUACUUAACCAACAUUGUCACACAACAUCAUAAGUCCUACUAAAGUAACUACAAAUGUCAAAGCCUCAAAUCAACUAAUGACACAUGAAAAGAACACUGAAGUGUCUGGAAUAAGUGGAGUUUGUGAUUAGAACCCUAACCUGAACUCGAGGGUGUGGCUGGAAAAGUCAGUGGUGUUGCCAAAGCCCCCCUCUUCGAUGUCCUUGCACCACUUAUCAAACAGCUUUCGCGCCCACUGUAGGUUUUUAUCCUCCUCCUCACCACCCACCUCUUCAGUAAUGUUCAGUGGUGGCAGCAGGUCGUGAUGUUGUUCAGCUCUGAGUGCUUCCUGCCUAGAACGUGGAGUGUAGAAGCCGACAACUGGAACCAAAUUACAGAAACCAUGAUCAUCGCAUACCUUCCUCGCCCGCUCCGAGUGUAGCUCAAUGGUGAAGAGGCCAGUAACCGUGUUAACAAAAAUGACAUUUGCUUCCUCGGCAAAACCCAGCACAAGCAGACUAUAAUCUGCACGAGCGAGAGCACGCAUUGGAAGCAAAAUUUUCAGGUCAAUGACCCGGCUUAGCACCCAUCGUGCAUCAUCAGUUCCGUUAGUUGCUACCUCCCUUGACCAUAAUUUGAGAUGUGAAUCCAACGACUGGCUAACUCCCAGUCCACCGUCCUCCAUCAGAAUGAGGUUAAAUAUCUCGGAGUAUGGUACAUCAGAGUCCGGUGGUUCGAACACAUCCAGGUCGUGCCUUGCAAAAUCGUACUCCAGGAUCGAACCACCGGUGCCCAUGAAAUACACCAGAGACCUCGCCACGAGCACCCUCGAAUAAUAUGUAUAGUCUAUCAAAAACUCGACACGCAUCGAGGUCAGCUCGCCCCACGCGCCGGUCUCCGACGAGUAUACACACGCCGACGUGACAUACUCCUCCUCGUCUGUGUCGAGGUCCUCGACGGAGAAGACAAAGACCAGGCAGAAAGGACCCCCGAGGCAGUCACGGUGGCCGCACCCGUCCGCCGCGCACAACACGGCCGCGCUCGGCUGGAAUAUGGUCCUCUCGUACGCCUCGGGCACCGGUACGCGCUGCCGGAAGCCCGUGAUUGGCUCCCACAGGAGGAGUUCCUGCGCACCAUCGUCCUCGGGGUCGGAGAUGAAGAGGGCGCGGCCGUGGCGGCAGUCGAUGGCCCGCCACAAGUGACGACGGGGAGCGGCGAGGGACAAGGAUGAGGCGGUGGUGGGGAUGAAGCGGGGGAUGAGCUCGUCGUCCCAGUUGUGGAGAAAGCCGAGGACAGGGGGUGCGCCGUGGAGCUCGUGGAGGCGGCGGCGGAAGACGCGGUGGGAGACUAUUCCCCUCCAGGUCUUGCAGACGAGCGACGCGCGGAGGAGCCAGGCCGGCUCGUCGGGCGGGAGGAGGAGGAGGAUCUCUUCGACGAGAUCGUCCGGGAUCGCCUGCGGCGGCGGCGCCGCCAUGGUGGCCGCUAGGUCUGGGCGCCGCCGGCGAGGUGCGGCGGCGAAGCUGCGCUGGGGUCGGUGCGGAUGUGGAUGUGGAUCUGGGGGGCGGUGGAAGAGAGUAUAAACUUUGCACGUUUUCCCUUGUAAAACAAAAACUGAAACUGAAACUGAAAAAGUUUGCACGUUUUCAACUUGCGCAAGUUUUCCUUGUAGACGACCUUUUGAGCAUUUUCUUCCUUUUUUUUUGAAUUUUGGAAGAAUUCUAACAUGAUCUUGGUGCGUCCUCCGUGAUCCUUCCAUGUUAUUUGCGAGAUUUUAUGUGAAACGUCUAUUGAUCCAAAUCAAUUCUGUGAGUUACUAUUUAGUUUUUUUUUCUGGCCAGAUUCGCCCAAUCAUACAAUGCAUAGACUUUCCUAUAAAGAUUAGUGCAUGCCAUAGUGUCAUGAUGUUCUAGUCAAUGAAAUGUUUCUAUAUGGUUUUCAAUCAUACAAACAAAAACUUUCGAAAUUCAUAUAAAAUACCUUUGAACCAAAGAGACCAUACUUUUAUUUUGGUUGUUAUUUUUGGAGUGCUACUUGUAUAGUGGUCUCUACACUGAACACACCCUCUUAUGCGCACUCGCUCUUUUUGUGUUACCAUGUAAGACAACCUCAUGUUGUGGUUGAGCUUGAAAUAAACAGUUGGGAUGGCGGGGCGAGGCGGUAGGAAAUUUUUGAAUGGUAGGAGAAUUACUAUUGGGUUGGGCGGGCCAUGGCCACCUUUUGCCCUAACGUAGCUUCGGCUUUGAUUUCAUGUGUGGUUGUCGUCUGCCUUUUAGGUGCCUCGGUUGCCUACACCCAGCCCAUUCAGAGCGGGAUUGUCUAUGGCGUCCGGUCCGGAUGCUCCCCCACACUAUCUCACAGCCCGUCUCAUGAGUCACGUCACGCUCUCUCGUGAGCCGAGGUUGCAGCCUUGACACCCAUGGGAGGUGAUCACUCUGCAUUGUUUGGCAUAUGUAGGUCCAUAUAUAGCAUCUUUCGCCAUGUUGAAGAGCACCACAACGCGUGAUUCCCGUAUUGCCGCUAUUGUUGUCUGGGAUGGGAUUGAUAGGGCUGGGUUGGAUAUUUUGUUGUGGUCUCUUUGUUGCACCUUAUUAGUUGGCGUUGUUUCGCUCCCAGAUCCAGGACAUGGUGGAUGAGGUGAUCCAAUCUUUGCUUGAGGAGGGUUCGCCCAUUAGAAUUUUUGUCAGGAAUGUGUUGUCGGCUUGGACCCUAAUCUGGUUACCUCAAUGGACGUGGUCCUGGGUGGCUUCUUCUAUCCUUGCUCCCCGUGCAUGGCGCCACCUCACUUUCUUUAAUGAUGGAAUCGUUUUAUGAUCUGUUGUGCGGCUUAUGGGGAUUUUUGUGCAUCUUGUGAGGAAAAGUUAGGCCUACAUGUCAUAGUGUGCUCCGAGAAGGAUGAAAAAUAUCACUUUAGCAUCGGAAGACCAAACUGAAGGUCAAAUCGAGAAAGCAGGUGCUUCAACGACGAAAGUAUUGUAUGCCAUGACCAUCACAGACUUGGAUCUGGUGGGUGUUGGUGCCCGUGACAACAAUGUUCAUGAAUUUAUUUUUCUUUGGUUGAGUCCGUCGAGGCCAGUGGAAUCUGUAGUUGAUGAUGUAGAGGUAGAUGAUAUGUUGGCACAUGUUCCCUGGAGCCGCUUGGUUGACAGCAACUACAAUGAGCUUUGUAAUUUGUUUACCAAAUGGGAUGCGGAUCGCUCAGGAUUCAGCAAGAACGAUGGUUGUCCCUUGAAGGAGAAAUAAAAAAUAAACAAAAUUAGGAAGUGUGGUAUGGGAUUGAUAGGGUUGGGUUGGAUCUUUUCUUGUGGCCUGCUUUUCACACCUUAUUAGUUGGCGUUGUUUCACUCCCAGAUCCAGGACAUGGUGGCUGUGGUGAUCCAAUCUUUGCUUGAGGAGGCUUUGCCUAUUAGAAUUUGGUCAGAAUGUGUUGUCAGCUUGGACCCUAAUCUGGCUAGGUGGCUUCUUCUAUCCUUGCUCCCCGUGCAUCGUGCCACAUCACUUUAUUUGAUGAUGGAAUCAUUUUACGAUCGGUUGUGAGGCUUAUGGGGAUUGUUGUGCAUCUUAAGAGGAUAAGGGAGGCCUACAUGUCAUAGUGUGCUCUGAGAAGGAUGCAAAACAUCACUUUAGCAUCGGAAGACUGAAGGUUAGAUCGAGCAAGCAGGUGCUUGAAGAUGAAAGUGUUGGAUGCCAUGACCAUCACAGAAUUGGAUCUGGUGGGUGUUAGUGCCCGUGACAAUAAUGUCCAUGAAUUUAUUUUUCUUUGCUUGAGUCCAUCGAGGCUAGUGAAAUAUGUAGUUGAUGAUGUAGAGGUGGAUGAUAUGUUGGCACAUGUUCCCUGGAGCCGCUUAGUUGACAGCAACUACAACGAGCUUUGUGCUUUGUUUACCAAAUGGGAUGCGAAUCACUCGGGAUCCAGCAAGAAAGAUGGUUGUCCCUUGAAGGAGAAAGAAAAAAAGGAACAAAAGUAAGAAGUGUGGCGCCUAAGGAAUGACGAGUAUGCAAUUUUAUGAUGGACAAUUUCAAUUUUUUGUGUUGUCAGCGUGUUUUAUGUCGUUUGAGUUGUGAGUGUUGGUAUACUUUUCUCUAGUUGCCCAUCAUUGGGGGUAUGUGUGUAAUAUUCUGGCACAUGUGUUGAGGUUCGAGGGGCGUUGUCAUGCAUGGGUUGGGAGUAGUCCUUAUGCUAUGUCGGGUGCGCUUGUUUUCUUCAUGACAUGCUUGGACAUCCCAAUCACCAUAAAAAAAAUCAGGUACUUGGGGAGGUUCAGAUCUUAGACAUUGUCUUUGGAGUGGUCUAGAUCUUGGGGACCAUAGGCCAGCCAUGGUUAAAUGGACAAUAGUUUGUAGAUGAGGUGUCGUGUGCUAGGCGGCUCAAGAGGCAACGGAUUGGACGUGGUCGGCGCACGGCGGCGCGAUCUACCAUGUUGUACAGUGGCGGCAGCAUGCAUCUUCAGGGCCUUAUAUCUGGGUCGACAUGCCACGACCACUGCGCGCUUCGGUCGGGUCCACAAUUGUCGACCGGUUAGUGCGCUGCACCAGCGCGAUGCGGCGCACCUGCGCUCAGGAGGCGACAGCGCUCGCCCUGUUUGGGUCUGGUCUGGGUCCAACUGGCGGUGGCUGCCACUCGUGUUGCGUUGGAUGAACAGCGCAUUCGGCGCGUUAGUAUUCGCCUUUGCAAUCGGCCGGUGGCAUGGGGGCUUGGCCAUGUUGGUCUUCGAGCGCCAAGUCUUUGAUCUGCUUCAUGUUGGACUUCUUGAUUUGUAUGUCGAGGAGUUGAGGUCUUCCUCUCGAAGAUUUCCACUGUUUAAUGCAUGGUGUCACUAGAUAUCUAAUUGGAAUUGAUCUAGUCGUGUGCUCCCUUAUCUUCGUCCAGGGAGGCUUCAUGAGGGUGUGAUGCCAAGCUUUGCUAUCUUUCCCCGUGCCAUGGGACAUAUCUAGGCAUAGAUUUCCAUGCAUUGACAGUGGUGAAGAAAGUCAUGACAAUUGUGAUCGGAAGCUUGUAAUGCCAGAGGAGUUUUGUUUACAAUGAAGACUUGAGAACAUGUUUUCUUGUGUGUCCGGGGUUAAGUAAUUGCAGCAACGGCCUUGGUGGGAGGGGCAGGAACACAGGUGGAUAGUAUAUCUGAUGGUGCUCUCGGGUACUGAGCCGUGAUUUCUAGGGUGAAAGCCCAAGGUCUGGCCUUCAUUGGUUGUACGUGAUAAUGGUCUUGCUGAAGACAUUGUUUUGGAAUAUCAAUCUUUCUUCAGGGCGAAAAAACAAGAUCCUUGAUCGGAGAACCACAAUGAUUGUACAUUGUUUUCUUUUUGGAGGCGUCGCCUUUGAGGAACCACUUUUGCGGACCGGGUGUUGUCUUUGGUGGUGAUUAGAUUGUUGUUGUUGCGAGUAUUUCAUCACUGCAACAUGAUCUUUGUUUUCAUAUUUCUCUUUUUUACUUUGUUCCUGGUUGUGCACAUCUUGGAUGUAACUGGUAUCCUCACAAUAUUAAUAUACUCCCCUUUAAAAAAAAAACUUACUUACCCUGAACUCGAUCGAACUCCUCAAACUCAUGCACUUCCAUCUUAAUUAACAUAUGCUCUUCAAUCAACAUCAUCAUCACCUGUUGUUGUUUCGCCCAUCUCCAGCUAAUGAAAAAUGUUGUGCUCGCCGAAGCCACAACGAGACAGUCACAGGGAUCGUGGGGUGUUGAAGCCGGAAGCGUCAUGAGAGCAUCUUCAAUAAAAGAUGAACUUUUGGAAAUGUAACAAUAGUGUUUUAUAAUUUACAUCAUGAAAAGACGCUUUUUACAUCUCCAAAAAUGUCCCAACUUGAACAGAUGAUGUAUAUUUGGUGAUGUUAAACUAGUGGUCCAAUGGACGAUGCAUAUUUGAAGAUGUAAAACGGUUGACGGCCGCGCGACAGCCUACAACCACUACGCACCCGCACUCCAAGGCCUACGGCGACGGCCGAGGAGGAGGCGACCAUGUCCCGAGGUAGUUGUUGCGGCCGCCAGCUGCAUCGAAUCGGCCGAAGAAGCAGCCUCCUUUGUCUUCUUCGUCGCCCGAGAUGGAGUUGUGCCGGGGUUGCACGCCGCCACCAAGCGGCUUGGCUGCCAUCUUCUUCUUCGCCGGCAGCGCACCGGUUCCCAUGGCGGCAACCUGCGGGGUGGUGCGAAACCGGCAUGUCUUGAUGGGGACAACAUGCAUGGAGGCGGUGGCAACGGGAAAGGUCGUAGUCGGCAACAACCGCGACGAGGUGGUCAGACCGGCGGAGGUGGCGGUGGCGGGGUCGGAAUCGUCCAUGGGGCUGGGCAGCGGCCGAGGCAUGGCGCGUCGGAGGCGUGUGGGCUGCUAAAAAUUUCAGAUGUGGCUGGCUUUUGGCACGCGGCUGGAUAUUUUACAUCACCAGGCGGUUGAUGAUGCAAAUUUGGAUUUCCAUUUGUUGUAUUUUACAUUAUUUGGAGGAGGUGAUGUAGAAAAUUAUAUAUCUAUAUCAACCGUGUGAAUGCCGUUUUUUGGCCUCAGAGAUAUAAAAAAAGUUAAUAUUUGUGCAUCUGCAUUAUCUAUUGAAAAUGUUCUAAGUAAGUUUAGGACGAUCGAUAUUGAUGACCCUCAAAAGGUUGAACCAACAAACUGACGUUCCACCUUGGAGAACCUAAUACGCAGUUUUUUAGCGUUAACGGUACGUGCCCGUACAUUUGGGAUUAUCGAUUUUCUUUGAGAUUCGUGCAUUUAGAAGUCCCACCACAAAUGUAUAAAUAUGUGAAUAUUUCAUUAAGUCAAAUCUAGAGUCAGUUUGACGGGGCAUGUAAUACUACUUUUUGGCGGUGUAGUAUGCUACUCAGACAUCUCUCCUUUUUCUUCCGUCCAAACAAAUUUAGACUUUAUUUUAUCUUAAACAAUUUAAAUCACACAUACUUAAAAAAUAUGUUCAUUUAGAAAACAUUACCAAACAGGUUUUUUCGCUUCUCAAAUUCUAUCGGCUCCAUCAUGCUUCUCAUCUUGUACCAGCUCAGCCAUAGCCAAAAACUAACUGGAGCUUAAAACUACACCAAAACACGUUUUACAUUCCAAACAUGUUUAAUUUUGGAUGUUCUAUAUUUCAUAUGUGAAACAAAUCUACUUCACUACGAAAAUGUGAAAACAAACCUAUUUUCACUAGAAAUAUAUGAAACCAACCUAUUUCCUUGAAAACCUAUUUAACCCAAAUACGAAACUGAAAUAUCAAGUUGUGAACUAAUUCUUUCAAAAUGUGUUACGGAGAGUGAAAUAUUAUAUUUCAAACACAUGCAAUUGUGAUAGAUGUGAUUUUUGUGAUACAAACCAGUGAAAAAUGAUACGCAGGUUCUGAAAGUAGAAAAGAAUAGGAAAUUAAAAUGUCAGCUUGUGAAACUGAUUAUUUAAAAAUGUGUAAUAUAUUAUUUCAAAAAUGUGGAUCCAAUACAUUUAUUUCUCGUUCACUCUACAGAGUUUUUCAAUGCAUUUUACCCGUAAAAAAAUAGUUUUGCUAUGCAUUUUCGCUCACUUUGCCAAGGUUAGAUACAUGAGCUUGUUUGCAACAUUAUUAUAUUGUCUCAUCUGUAAGCGAUCAUUUCUAGAGAUCUGAGGCUGUUUGCAACAUUGUACUAGUGUGAUCAUUCAUGUUAGGAUCCGAUCAAAGACAAUGUCCCAUGUACUGGAAUUUUGUUUUAAGAAAAUCUAAUUGUUAUUUUCAAGAAAUGCUAGUUGUCUCUAAAAAUUAGCAUGAGUAGAAAAUCCUAAUCUUAAGAAACAGGGGGGGGGGGGGGUUGAUCUUUCAACAUUUAUGCCAAGCGAUUCAAUCUCGGAACAAAUGCGAGAAAACUAACAAAUUUCUGCAGCAUUUACUCAUGCACAAGCAAUUCAAUGUUGGGUGUUUUGGUUAUUUUCUGGUGCACAUCAUCUUAGCACUUGCUGCACAUUAUUAGCAGCAGACUAAAAUAUUAGUACAGCUGAUACGUACACAAGGCCGCCUCCUCCAACAGAUCAAUACACCACAGUAAAGUUCAAACAACAAAGGUUUUGCGGAGGACAACAUACAACUUCUAUAUCCACAACAGAAGGUGAUGGGAAUGUAUCACUGGAAACAGCAAGAACUCAAUGGAUGGGCAUCCCGCUGCAGUGAGCCACUGAUAAUAAGAUCCAAUAUCUAGUAAUCUGAUCAAAUGCUUAAUGACAGCAACUUCUAUCUUCCCACUUUUAUAAAACUCAACAGAUAAGUAUUGACCAUUGAGAGAACAUGAACAGGGACUGGUAACAUCUUGUUAGGACAUUCCAGGCACAUCUUCUAUCUAGCUGCAAUCACAUUUCCUUCACGGAUGGUGAAUUAUCCUCUCCAGAAAUCUUUGGACAAGGCUCAUACUUUUCAUUAGCUGUUUCAUGCCUGUGCCAAAAAAACCAAAGUUACACCAAUUCCAAUACCUCCAGUCACUGCUGCUAUAGACAUAGUUGGGGAACAAAAGCUGUGGUUUGAUCUAGCCAUCUGUGAAGAAGUCAAAGAUAGAGAUCUUGCCACAGCAUUCUUGACAUUCUGCUCCUGGCUCACCAUUGAGACAACCCUAUACGCCAGAGCUUGGGGUUGACAUUAUGUUGCUUUCUCCAGUGCUUUAAGCUAAA
rnacentral:lncRNA from 1 species